rfam:Fimbriiglobus ruber strain SP5 contig19, whole genome shotgun sequence.
GGGCGCUUAGCUCAGCUGGCUAGAGUACUACAUUGACAUUGUAGGGGUCACAGGUUCAAGUCCUGUAGCGCCCA